UGGGGAAUAUUGGACAAUGGGGGGAACCCUGAUCCAGCGAUGCCGCGUGUGUGAAGAAGGCCUGAGGGUUGUAAAGCACUUUAGUUAGGGAGGAAAGGCCUGCUUCGAAUAGGAGCAGGAGAAGACGUUACCUAAAGAAUAAGCACCGGCAAACUCUGUGCCAGCAGCCGCGGUAAUACAGAGGGUGCAAGCGUUAAUCGGAAUGACUGGGCGUAAAGAGCUCGUAGGCGGUGAUAUGUGUCACAGGUGAAAUCCCCGGGCUUAACCUGGGAACUGCCUGUGAAACUGUAUGACUAGAAUAUAAGAGAGGUAAGUGGAAUUUCCGGUGUAGCGGUGAAAUGCGUAGAUAUCGGAAAGAACACCAGUGGCGAAGGCGACUUACUGGCUUAAUAUUGACGCU
rnacentral:rRNA from 1 species